rnacentral:rRNA from 1 species
AACGAACGCUGGCGGCAUGCCUAACACAUGCAAGUCGAACGAGAUCUUCGGGUCUAGUGGCGCACGGGUGCGUAACGCGUGGGAAUCUGCCCUUUGGUUCGGAAUAACAGUUGGAAACGACUGCUAAUACCGGAUGAUGACGAAAGUCCAAAGAUUUAUCGCCAGAGGAUGAGCCCGCGUAGGAUUAGCUAGUUGGUGUGGUAAAGGCGCACCAAGGCGACGAUCCGUAGCUGGUCUGAGAGGAUGAUCAGCAACACUGGGACUGAGACACGGCCCAGACUCCUACGGGAGGCAGCAGUGGGGAAUAUUGGACAAUGGGCGAAAGCCUGAUCCAGCAUUGCCGCGUGAGUGAUGAAGGCCUUAGGGUUGUAAAGCUCUUUUACCCGGGAUGAUAAUGACAGUACCGGGAGAAUAAGCUCCGGCUAACUCCGUGCCAGCAGCCGCAGUAA